GACGAACGCUGGCGGCGUGCCUAAUACAUGCAAGUUGAGCGAUGAAGAUUGGUGCUUGCACCAAUUUGCAGAGCAGCGAACGGGUGAGUAACGCGUGGGGAAUCUGCCUUUGAGCGGGGGACAACAUUUGGAAACGAAUGCUAAUACCGCAUAACAACUUUAAACAUAAGUUUUAAGUUUGAAAGAUGCAAUUGCAUCACUCAAAGAUGAUCCCGCGUUGUAUUAGCUAGUUGGUGAGGUAAAGGCUCACCAAGGCGAUGAUACAUAGCCGACCUGAGAGGGUGACCGGCCACAUUGGGACUGAGACACGGCCCAAACUCCUACGGGAGGCAGCAGUAGGGAAUCUUCGGCAAUGGACGAAAGUCUGACCGAGCAACGCCGCGUGAGUGAAGAAGGUUUUCGGAUCGUAAAACUCUGUUGGUAGAGAAGAACGUUGGUGAGAGUGGAAAGCUCAUCAAGUGACGGUAACUACCCAGAAAGGGACGGCUAACUACGUG
rnacentral:rRNA from 1 species